AUUGAACGCUGGCGGCAGGCCUAACACAUGCAAGUCGAACGAGUGGCGGACGGGUGAGUAAUGUCUGGGAAACUGCCCGAUGGAGGGGGAUAACUACUGGAAACGGUAGCUACUACCGCUUACUAUCGGUUGGGCCCAGAUGGGAUUAGCUAGUAGGUGGGGUAAAGGCUCACCUAGGCGACGAUCCCUACCUGGUCUGAGAGGAUGACCAGCCACACUGGAACUGAGACACGGCCCAGACUCCUACGGGAGGCAGCAGUGGGGAAUAUUGCACAAUGGGCGCAAGCCUGAUGCAGCCAUGCCGCGUGUAUGAAGAAGGCCUUCGGAUUGUAAAGUACUUUCAGCGGGGAGGCGUUACCCGCAGAAGAAGCACCGGCUAACUCCGUGCCAGCAGCCGCGGUAAUAC
rnacentral:rRNA from 1 species